UCCUCUCAUACUAUUAAGGUAUUACGACAAUGUUGUUUGUGUGCUAAGAAAAAUGUGUUUAGACGCAAAAGCUCCUCAUCUUUAGAACCCUGAACUCAACUCUUUGUGUCUUGUCUCCAAAAAGCAUAUCUGUUCUAUCUUUUCCAUGUGUUGAGUACUGGUAACGACAAUAUGGUCUUCCUUUUUUAUAUGUAGACCAGGUCGUGAGAGUGAUAGUGAUACAGAAAACCUUGAUUGAACAUGCUGUGAAUCUUCGCCAAGUUAAAGCAGUUCUAGAAGAGGUUCUUUAGUACUUUCUCUCUCUUUGUUGAAUAUUGUCCGGGAAAGUAUUACAUAGUAUCAUUUAGUAAUACUAUCUUAUAUCAUUUUUUUGUUGAAUAUACUAUCUUAUAAGUAAGCUAGCAUUAUACCUUUUUUAUUUAAUUCAUGAGAUCAUUUUCUCACCACUACUAGAAAACAUCAAUUUAGAAACUGAGAUUGCAACUAUCACUAGUAGUUGCAAAAUUUUGUAACUCAUUUCAAACCAUUUUACCACUAUUUUGCAAUUACCAUAAAUAUGUCAUAAAUCAGUUGCAAAUGUGUGACUCGUACAAGUAAUUGCAAGUUAGUUGCUGUUUUUGGCACGUUUUUGCAACUAGAUCGAUUGGUAGCUAACACAUUAGCAGUAUUGUAACUAUUUUGAAACUAUUAGAGUAAUUGCAAAUAUGUAGUUAAAAACAAGUUGCAAAAUAGAAUAAAAGUUGUAAUUGCAAAUUUGUUGCAAAAAUUUUGCAACCCAAUUGUCACUACCAUCGUGAAAUUUUAUAUGGAUAAAUUUUAAAACACUUACAAGUAAAACUUCGAAUUCUACAUUUAAUGUGUAUAAUACCAUUUCUAAAUUGAUUAUAAAUAACCUAGAAAUUUAGGUUAACUUGCCACUGUUUUGCAACUAACAGUUAUUUUCUAACUGAUUUGUAACUCUUUAAUAUAUCAUAGUCGCAAUAUAGUUGCGAAUAGUAUCAUUAUUUAAAAUUUCACAAGUUUAUGCACUAAUUAUUUAUUAGCAUUACUUAAUAAUCUAACAUACCAAAAUAGUAUACCUUGAAUCAAUUUGAGUCAUUUUCAUACAUUUUGGAUAUUAAAAAAAAACACAACCAACAUAUUUUGUAUUGAUUUCAUGUGUGUUCAUUUUCAAUUUGUAUUGUAAAUUAUAAGCACAUAGCCUGUUUAAAUAUAUAUUUUGUAUUUAAAGAAGAUAUUUCCGAACUACCCCAUUAUAAAAUGGUUGUAAGUUACUUUAAGGUUAAGUUACCACUAUUUUGUCACUAACAGUUGUAAAAUAGUCAUAAGAUAAAAUGAUUUGCAUAAAAUGAUUUUAAAAUGAUUUGACCAAAAAAAUGCAUAUGAUUUGCAAAAAUUAUUUUAAAUGAUAUUAAGCUUUAGGGUGUGAUUUAUUACUAUUUUGUUACAAAAAUUAACAGACAAACAUUUGUAUAUAAAUAAUAACAUUUAAAUAAAUGAUUGCGUUCAAAAAUAAAUAAAAAUAAAUAAAUGAUGUUUUAGGGUGUAGAGUAUAUUUAGCGACUAAUUUGUUACCGAAAAUGUGAUCCAGUUGCAACUUAGUAGCAACAUCUACCGAGUAAAAAAAUUUAUUGGUUAACGCAUAAUCACGUGGAUCACAAUCUCCACCGUUGAUAAAAUUAGAUCUAACGGAUCAAUAUCUUCUCGGUUUCUUCCCUUUUUCUCUUCCUUCUCUGCAAGACUGCAACAUUAAUUUUUUUUUCUCAAAGAUCUUUAUCUUCUCUCUUUGUCACCCGUCUUAGCUUCCUCAGCAAUAUCUGUUUAACUAGCGGAGGGAGAACGAUGACGUUAUACAUUAAUCCCACCGUCACAACGGCAGCUCAAUCUCACCGUCGGACGAGACUUGUUACCCCCUCCUGGUUUUCUGUCAAGGCGUCUUGCUGACCCACUGCUGCAUCUUGGACCUGUCUCGAUGCCAUCUCAGAGCAAGCUCUAGGACUCCGCCGCUGCAUUUCCGGAGCUCUACAAUUCCGCCGCUGCAUUUCCGGUCAAACUCUACAACUCUGCCGAUGCGUUUCUUGUCCAGAUCUUUGACUCCGCCACUGCAUCUCCGGUUAUUAUCCAGACAAGCACAAACAUUUGAAGAAAUGCAAGAACAACUACAAGCUCAUCAACACAAGAUUGAAGAACAAGAGACGACUAGAUGCUGAUUAGUGAUUACCAUCAAUUCUAUUAGUUGUAUAGAUUUUAAGCUUUUUAAUAUCUAAAGCAGAUUUUAACGAUUAAUGUUUAUAUAUUUUUGAAGUUUUAAUUAUACAUUGUCAUAAAUCAAUUCAAAAAUUAUUAUUUUAAUU